CUGUGGAGCAGUGCGGCGACAAUGACGGGGAGGUGGGAGGAGAGCAUCUGCGGUGGAGAAGACGAGUGGGCCGUCGUACGUGGGCGUGCAAUCACGACUCACAGCUUUGCCUCCCACAGGUGACACUGCUUCGACUGCCACCCAGACAUGUAAGUGGCGUUCUAUUUCUCUCUCUUAUGAUUGAAAGUUUGAGGAGAUUUCCUUCUUGUCUUGGGGGCCUGGAGAAGUGUCUGCUUGUGGAGGUUCAAUUGAUGAUUUGAUCUGGUCGGUUCGCCGAGAUCAGAAAAAUGAGUGUCAUGAUCUGUUGAUGUUUAAGUGUUGUCCAGAUUGUUUGCUUGGUUGACGGAAGGUACACAUGGUUUUCAUUUUUUGUGGGUUAGUUUGUCUCUUUCUUUGCAAAGUUCAGAUAGUGCUUCCAGAUAGUGCUGAUAAUUUAUACUCAAUAGGUUGCAGGUACGCGAAUAAAGGUCCACUGGAAUAUAUUAAGUACCGAGAAGAAUCCAUAUAUAUUGUAAAGAACACUGGGUUUACUGGAUUGCCGUUCUUUCAGUACUAAAUGGCUCUUGCCGAAUUAGUAUACUAAUGAGUCUACCGCCUAAAUUUAUACCAAGUAUACUGCUUCGAUGCCUGUGGUAUUUUCUCCAGGAAAGUUACUUGGUGUUGCUUCAGGAGAUCAUUAGUCCGUGAGAUAUCAAUUUAACGGAAACUCUAUCGCUGCGUACAAACGCUGCCCACUUCAUCACACUUCGUGUCCCAGGUAUGAGAUGUUGCGUCCUUUUUAUUGUUCUAUUGGUCUUUUGGUACAGAGUUCCCGUGUCCUCCGUUGUGUUCUCAGCCUGCUGGUCCAGAGAGACUUAUGUAGACCAUUUCGUUUUGAGGAAUUCUAUUGGCACCUUAAAGGAAAAUCUUCGGGUGUGUCAAUUUGUUCUUGAAAUUCUAGAAUCCAUGUCCUGGAAUUUCAGUACAUCUCAGGUAACAAAUUGCAAUAUUUUAUUGUAUUUUUUGUAGGAGUUUUUAUCGUUGGUUUGGUUUUCAAGUUUAUUCUGGAGCCAACCUUCGUGCCAGCCAUUGAUGCAAGCAAGAAAAUAGUUGGAAUGAACAAUCUACAGGGAUAAGUACAACACCAUAUUAAUCUGUUUUCUUAUAAAAAAGGACGACUGAGUACAAUUAAGUUUUUUGUGUGGAAAGCGGACUGAUUAUGAUGGUUCAGGUAAAGAUAUGAUGCAAAAACAUCGCCGGCAAGUCUUAUUCAGUGUUGUGAUUACAGAUGUUGGUAAGAAACUAAGAAUGUGUCUAAAUCAUUAAGAUCACUUGUUUUCUCAGGCCUGCACUUGUCAAACUUUCUUUUAGGUGACAUAGGUUUAUUAAUAGAAUUCUGUGAAGUUUUGCUUCCUUGAAGCUACAAUCAGUUGACUUCAUACUUAUUGUGAGCUGUGGGAAUCAGUUUGCACAGUUUUCCCGAGUGAAUGGCUUUAUUUCUUGGAUCUGUGGAGGUAAUACCUUUGUGUAUUCACGUUAAUAUAUUGGCUUAAUUGAUCUUUAAAAGAGGGGCUAGGACUUAGGACUGCAUUUCAAUUUUGUCAGGUUAACAAUUUUGUCAUAGGACAAUUGAUCCCUCGAUUUGAAGUGUACGGUAAUCAGAGCUUUGAAAACAAUAUCGUCUAUGUCAGCAUUUUAGUUUUGUCAUGUUAAUAAAUGAAUGGAUCUGAGUUCAUUAUUUCUAUAUAUGGACCUGACAACCAAUUCAGACUAGAACUGUUUCUGAUUAGAACUGGAGGAGGAACAUACACUUACCUAUAUAAGCUUAGACCAUUGUCCUAUGAGGCUGCAUAAACAAUGAAAGAGGGAAGCAAUAUACUUGGUAAAUUUCAGAUUAAAUGGCAGAUGAAUCUUGGCGAACCAGCUUGUUUGCAAAUGCAGAACAUUCAUAGAACUAUAAGUAACUUCCUGGGCCCCUUUUUUUACUAUUUAUGGUACGUGUUACCCAUUUAAAGUUGCUAACUACAUCGUGUCAAUAGUCAAGACAAUUUUUCCUGUUAAAACUGAAAGUAAAAAAUGAUCGUUGAAUUCUCUAAUUGAACCGGAAGUUCCAGUUGUCUUAUAUUUGUAGAAUGGCCAUUUAUUGUAAGAUUUCUUGGUUAGGAUUCGGCUAAAAUUUUGCAGCCUAAAAUAUGCUGUCCUAAAUAGUCAGUAAUACAGUUUAGUUAUGUAUAAUGGAUUUUUUCACAAUUGCGGUGGAAGGGAAAAAUCUUAGGUCUUAGUUCUGUGAAGUUUAAGGAACUUUCCUUCUUGGGCUUGCUAGAUGGAGGUUAAUAAUGAUUGUGUUUAUUUCUGCUUUUUUUCAGGAAUGGUGCUUACUACAUGUUUUAAGCAUUCAGUUCAGUUGGCUUCCAUUCAUAUAAAGAGAACGAAUGUGAGAAUUUUGGGUGUCCGAAACAAAGAGAGUCAGACCCAUCGACACCUGCCCCAGGCAAAUCAAGGCCAACCCAAGACAGGGGGAUUUUCCUUCAGUAUUUGUCAUUUUUCAAAAAGAGGUGGGUUGAACCGUUAAGGUUUUGAGAAAACAUUGACAAUGUCCUUUGGCUAUGUUACUGAUCAAUUGUUAUAUGAGCACUGCCUCCGCUGCACUGACCAGUUCGUCAUCCACCGCCCCGUGCAUCUCCUUCAUCGUUGCCCCGAACUCCUUCGCUUGACGUCUGACCUUGCCGUCUUUUUCAUUCAGGUUCUCCAUGUUUGUGGGCUAUGUUCUGUUCUGCUUCUUUCUUCUGCUAUAUUCUUUUUAUCCAGUCUCCGAUUUUUAUUUUUUGGCUGGUUGCAGUAUUAAUUUUGUGAGAUAAAACAAAGAUCUUUCUCUCUGCAGUUAGCUAGCAAACACUAAUAAUGUUUCCUACAUUUCGUGGGAUAGAGGAAACUUGAAAUGUGAGUUAAUAUUUAGCUUGAAAUUCAUCAUCAUGAUAAGUUUGUUUGUUUGUUUGUUUGUGAGCACUCCUUUUUCUGUCCGCAAUGGUUCCAAUUUAAUAAUACAACUUAAUGAUGCUUUCGUGCAUUCCAAUUGAUCGCUGUGAAACACACACAUAAACUCGUCUAUGAAUCUUUUGGAUUUAGCAUUUUAGUAAUUGUUCAUACAUAAAUGACAAACUGUGCUCUUGGAGAUGCUGGGUACUCAUGUUUAUUUGAGCGCAUUUUCUUAUUUAGAAAUAGCCAUUACCAAUCUAAUAUGGUUUUCUGUGCACCAGCCGCUGUAUCAUGAAAUUCCUAUAUCAUUUUAGAAUAAACUGAUUUUUUUUUUAACUCUGUGGGAUCCUGUGGCAAAUCAAUCCAUGUAAGCACAAGAGGUGAAAGCUUGCUUGGAGGUUGACUUAUGCGGAAUAGUCAAUACAUAUAUGAAACCAAUCUAAGUGAAAGGAAAGGCAAAAAGAUUUGCAUGUCAGAUGCGUGAACCAGCAACUGCAAGAAGUAGAGCUCAGUUAUUUACCUUAAAGGUGAUGGCCAUCUAGGUAAAAUCACUUUGUGCUUCAUGUGUAGAUUGGUUCAAAGAAUCAAAUUUCAUUGUAGGCAUGCUACAUUGUUACCCAUCUGGAAAAGCAAUUGGCUGGAAACUCUGUUUCUCUUACAGACAGCUCAGUGGACAAGAUCAGCUAUAUCGAAGUUAGCAAAGACAUCCAUAUUUUGCCAGUUUUGCUUUUUUUUCUGCACUGGCAUACGUGUAUUGGAGGAAAUAAGGAGGUGCUUUCUCUAUGCGUGUUCUAGAUGACCGUAUUCUAGAUUAACUUUAUGGUGGACUUACCAAGUGAUGUAAGGGCAUUGACUUUGAUUUUCUCUUAGCAAUAAUAUAAGGGCACUCGAGUUUGGUUUGUAAA